UAUUCCCCUUUCUGUAAGUCGCUUUGGAUAAAAGCGUCUGCUAAAUGACUAAAU
rfam:Larimichthys crocea isolate SSNF unplaced genomic scaffold scaffold435, whole genome shotgun sequence.